GAGAGAGACACAAGUGCCACGGGGU
rnacentral:piRNA from 1 species